rnacentral:rRNA from 1 species
CCCAUCCGUGUCUAUUGUACCCUGUUGCUUCGGCGGGCCCGCCGCUUGUCGGCCGCCGGGGGGGCGCCUCUGCCCCCCGGGCCCGUGCCCGCCGGAGACCCCAACACGAACACUGUCUGAAAGCGUGCAGUCUGAGUUGAUUGAAUGCAAUCAGUUAAAACUUUCAACAAUGGAUCUCUUGGUUCCGGCAUCGAUGAAGAACGCAGCGAAAUGCGAUAACUAAUGUGAAUUGCAGAAUUCAGUGAAUCAUCGAGUCUUUGAACGCACAUUGCGCCCCCUGGUAUUCCGGGGGGCAUGCCUGUCCGAGCGUCAUUGCUGCCCUCAAGCCCGGCUUGUGUGUUGGGUCGCCGUCCCCCUCUCCGGGGGGACGGGCCCGAAAGGCAGCGGCGGCACCGCGUCCGAUCCUCGAGCGUAUGGGGCUUUGUCACAUGCUCUGUAGGAUUGGCCGGCGCCUGCCGACGUUUUCCAACCAUUCUUUCCAGGUUGACCUCGGAUCAGGUAGGGAUACCCGCUGAACUUAAGCAUAUCAAUAAGCGGAGGAA